UACGUAGGGCGCAAGCGUUGUCCGGAAUUAUUGGGCGUAAAGAGCUCGUAGGCGGCUUGUCACGUCGGGUGUGAAAGCCCGGGGCUUAACUCCGGGUCUGCAUUCGAUACGGGCAGGCUAGAGUGUGGUAGGGGAGAUCGGAAUUCCUGGUGUAGCGGUGAAAUGCGCAGAUAUCAGGAGGAACACCGGUGGCGAAGGCGGAUCUCUGGGCCAUUACUGACGCUGAGGAGCGAAAGCGUGGGGAGCGAACAGG
rnacentral:rRNA from 1 species